UUCGGCCAUAGUGGCGCACGGGUGAGUAACGCGUGGGAACCUGCCCAGCAGUGGGGGAUAACUUCGGGAAACCGGGGCUAAUACCGCAUACGCCCUUAGGGGGAAAGAUUUAUCGCUGUUGGAGGGGCCCGCGUCCGAUUAGUUUGUUGGUGGGGUAAUGGCCUACCAAGACUACGAUCGGUAGCUGGUCUGAGAGGAUGAUCAGCCACACUGGGACUGAGACACGGCCCAGACUCCUACGGGAGGCAGCAGUGGGGAAUAUUGGACAAUGGGCGCAAGCCUGAUCCAGCAAUGCCGCGUGAGUGAUGAAGGCCUUAGGGUUGUAAAGCUCUUUCGGCGGGGACGAUGAUGACGGUACCCGCAGAAGAAGCCCCGGCUAACUUCGUGCCAGCAACCGCGGUAAUACGAAGGGGGCUAGCGUUGUUCGGAAUUACUGGGCGUAAAGAGCACGUAGGCGGUUCGUUAAA
rnacentral:rRNA from 1 species